UGGGGUAGGUGUAAUUGGCAACACGGAAGAUUCUGAUUCUUUUGUUCUUGGUUCGAGUCCAGGUACCCCAGC
rnacentral:tRNA from 1 species